rnacentral:misc_RNA from 1 species
GUAGGUGAACCUGCGGAAGGAUCAUUAACUAGUAUUGAAGUCCACGGGGAUCAGGCUUUCCGAAAGGAGGGUGGGGGGAUGUUUGGUUCCCCCUGCUUGGGCAGACUGGAGAGCAUGGUGUAGCUAUCGUAAUGGUAGUUAGAUUAUGUUUGGCCUCUGCUGAUCGAGCUUUUCCCCUUCCUUCUCCUCCCCUUUCUUUUUUCGCCCCCCUUGUUUCCUCGGCCUUCUUUCCUUCCCUUCUUCCCCUUUC